AUUAACUUAAAAAAAAUUACGUUUAUUGGGCCACUCAUUAUUGUCAUGAUUAAAGCCAAAGACUGGGGCUCAUGGCUUGGUGCUGUUGGAACCACCCAGGAUGGUUGGCUUGAUGAGAAAAUGACGGCCCAGAGAAGUUAAGUGAAUUAUCCAAGGUUAUGCAUGCUUCCUGUAUGCCAAGUCGCUUCAGUCAUGUCCAAGGUUACCCAGCUACUAAGCACCAGGGCCUGGAUACACACAGAGGCACAUUGGAAAUGCAGUAGAAAACGGCUGCCAGUUUAAAAGCAGAAGUUAAGAAGCACAAACCCAAGCGUGCGGUGAGAGGGCUUCAAGCUAGACCAGCUCCCAGCAGAAGUGAGUCCCAAGAUCAUGGAUUCUGUUGCCUCUUCUGUCUUCUGCAAAGUGGCAGAUGCCAGCACCUGGGCUUGAACUUGAUCAUGACUGUUUAUUUCCUAACCUUUUCUGG
rnacentral:lncRNA from 1 species